rnacentral:tRNA from 1 species
UGGGUCAUUAGCUCAAUCGGAUAGAGCACCGCCCUUCUAAGGCGUAGGUUUCAGGUUCGAGUCCUGAAUGGCCUGU